UACAGAGGUCUCAAGCGUUGUUCGGAUUCAUUGGGCGUAAAGGGUGCGUAGGUGGCGCGGUAAGUCGGGUGUGAAAUUUCGGAGCUUAACUCCGAAACUGCAUUCGAUACUGCCGUGCUUGAGGACUGGAGAGGAGACUGGAAUUUACGGUGUAGCAGUGAAAUGCGUAGAUAUCGUAAGGAAGACCAGUGGCGAAGGCGAGUCUCUGGACAGUUACUGACGCUGAGGCACGAAGGCCAGGGGAGCAAACGGG
rnacentral:rRNA from 1 species